rnacentral:rRNA from 1 species
GAUGAACGCUGGCGGCGUGCCUAACACAUGCAAGUCGAACGAAGCACCUUACCUGAUUCUUCGGAUGAAAGUUUGGUGACUGAGUGGCGGACGGGUGAGUAACGCGUGGGUAACCUGCCCUGUACAGGGGGAUAACAGCUGGAAACGGCUGCUAAUACCGCAUAAGCGCACGAGGAGACAUCUCCUUGUGUGAAAAACUCCGGUGGUACAGGAUGGGCCCGCGUCUGAUUAGCUGGUUGGCAGGGUAACGGCCUACCAAGGCAACGAUCAGUAGCCGGUCUGGGAGGAUGCACGGCCACAUUGGAACUGAGACACGGUCCACACUCCUACGGGAGGCAGCAGUGGGGAAUAUUGCACAAUGGGGGAAACCCUGAUGCAGCAACGCCGCGUGAGUGAAGAAGUAUUUCGGUAUGUAAAGCUCUAUCAGCAGGGAAGAUAAUGACGGUACCUGACUAAGAAGCUCCGGCUAAAUACGUG